UUUCUGAUUCCUUCUCUUAUACCAAUUUAUUUCUCCUAAUUUGUGUAUUUUAUGCUCUUCCCAUUAAGUUUUUUGGUUGUCCAAAAACUGUAUGAAGUUUAAGCCUUCUAGUCUAUGGACUAUGAGAGAAAUAUCCAGAGGGCAGUUCGCUGGUGCAAUAAGUGAAAUGAAAAGAAGAACCGGUCAGAUACACACAUAAGUAUGCAUUAUGCAUCCACAGCCUCAAAAAUGUCAGAAGUUCAGAACAAGCAGAAAAGAUCACAUCCAGCUCCACUCCAAGAGCAACAAGUAUGCCCUGUUUGACCAGACAAUUAUAGGACCCCAGCUGGAGGCUUCGGUCAACAGAGAUUUUAAUAACACUGACAGACCUUGGGUUACCUGGUCCUCUGAG